rnacentral:rRNA from 1 species
UGGGGAAUUUUGGACAAUGGGGGCAACCCUGAUCCAGCAAUGCCGCGUGAGUGAAGAAGGCCUUCGGGUUGUAAACCGCUUUUGUCAGGGAAGAAAUCCUUUGAGUUAAUACCUGGGGCUCAUGACGGUACCGUAAGAAUAAGCACCGGCUAACUACGUGCCAGCAGCCGCGGUAAUACGUAGGGUGCAAGCGUUAAUCGGAAUUACUGGGCGUAAAGCGUGCGCAGGCGGUUAUGUAAGACAGAUGUGAAAUCCCCGGGCUCAACCUGGGACCUGCAUUUGUGACUGCAUAGCUGGAGUGCGGCAGAGGGGGAUGGAAUUCCGCGUGUAGCAGUGAAAUGCGUAGAUAUGCGGAGGAACACCGAUGGCGAAGGCAAUCCCCUGGGCCUGCACUGACGCUCAUGCACGAAAGCGUGGGGAGCAAACA